CUUCACUCUGAAUAAACUGUCGCUUGUCAUACAAUUUACCACCUUGUCUGAAUCGAUCCUUGACCGACUCGCCCGUCUACAUAUCUAAUUUCUAACAGAACUUGGUAGCAGAGGAUGGUUUACUAACGAUCCAGUCGAAGUGAGUUGAUUUGGGUGUGAGAGGGCGAGUUGGUGAAAGGACGGUUCACGGAGGACGGGUGAAGACUUUCGGGGGAGGACAACAAUUCUGCUCAACUCGGAAAACUGAUCUCAAGGUGCACCAUAAAAAAGCUCUUUCCAAACAGAUACACAAAGUCCAUGGGGGGGAGCUGACGGGAGAUCCAGAGCAACCAAGGGUAAAGAUCGGAGACUGGGUAAGGAUCAUGGUCCACAAGAGAAAGUGGCAGGAUCCCAGGUGGACUGGACCGUACGAAGUGAAGGAGGUUACUUCACACUCGGUCCAGGUCAAAGGUAAAUCAGGGGCGCCUUGGCACCACUUGACUCAUUGUGCACCAGCUUCGAUACCCAAUAGAACACUGACAGAGGUCAGGGUCGACUUGAGCGACUUGAAUUCGGCUCCAAUACAACCCGAUUAGCAGGUGACGAUGUGGACCAGACUCCCAUCAGCAUCGGCUAAUAGGCCUCCUAGAGACAGGGGUUAUCCCUGGACUAGACUGGGCAUAUCUGGCCCCGGUUUAUUUGUGUGUUUGUAAAUGCAUAUGUCUACUGAAUGAUAAAUUGAACGAAUGUUUAGACAAUGUUUUAGAUGUGUUGACUAUAUUGAGUGAAUGUUCAAACAAUGUUUUAGAUGUGAUCUGGCGUAAAUGAAGAUUUGUGAGACUCAAAUCGUGUGCAUGAAAUAUUCUUGAUAUUCAGUCGGGGACUAAUAUCGGUAUGAAUGAGGUCGGGGACCAAGCGAGUGUGGUACAUUAGGUAUUUCAGUUGGAGCUGGUACCGGUGAGAAUGUUGAAAAAGUCGCAGGCUUGCUGAUGAGAGUUAUAUCAUAGAAUAUUGAGGGGGUGUGCAUGACUGUUGGAAAA